rnacentral:rRNA from 1 species
CCUACGGGAGGCAGCAGUGAGGAAUAUUGGUCAAUGGGCGUAAGCCUGAACCAGCCAAGUCGCGUGAGGGAUGACGGUUCUAUGGAUCGUAAACCUCUUUUAUAAGGGAGUAAUGUGCUGGACGUGUCCCGUUUUGUAUGUACCUUAUGAAUAAGGAUUGGCUAACUCCGUGCCAGAGGCCGCGGGAAUAAGGGGGGUUCGAGCGUUUACCGGAUUUUGUUGGGUUAAAGGGUGUCGUGGAGGGAUUUUAAGUCAGGGGGGAAAUUUUGGGGCUCCAACAUAGUAGUGCCGUUGAAACUGGGGGGCUUGAGUAGGUGUGAGGAAUGCGGAAUGCGUGGUGUAGCGGUGAAAUGCUUAGAUAUCACGCAGAACCCCGAUUGCGAAGGCAGCCUGCC